AAUAUCCGAGUCUACAUAACAACAAAAGAACCAUAAUAGAGAGCAAAUGCAACCAAUCAUAAAACCAGAACUGCCUUCCUAUUAAGCUUGAUUAAGAACCACAACAAAAUCAGGCAUCUGAAAGUUGGAGAGAAUAAGAAUAAGCACGGGAAAGUCUAGAUGAAAGAUAAAUUGUAGUAGAAAAAUUACUAUACUCCCUCUAACACUAUAUAAUUGACAGCGUCAAAGGUUGAUCUGUGGCCAAUAACUAGACCAAGUCUUGCACCACCUUAAGCACCUACAUUGAUAACAUACACGUAUGCGUAACAACAAAAAACUGUCACAGGGUGAGGCCCAAAACAAUAUCCGAGUCUACAUAACAACAAAAGAACUAUAAUAGAGAGAGCAAAUGCAACCAAACAUAAAACCAGAACUGCCUUCCAGUUAAGCUUGAUUAAGAGCCACACAACAAAAUCAGGCAUCUGAAAAUUGGAGAGAAUAAGAAUAAACACGGGAAAGUCUAGAUGAAAGAUAAAUUGUAGUAGAAAAAAUACUAAACUAUACUCCCUCUUGACACCCUCGAUGAACACUAUAUAAUUGACAGCGUCAAAGGUUGAUCUGUGGCCAAUAACUAGACCAAGAUUAGCACCACCUUAAACACCUAUAUUGAUAACAUACUCGUAUGCGUAACAAACAAAAUACUGAUGAAAGAGAGAAAAGACAAAACCAAGCCUCAAACCAGAAGUGCCUUCAAGUUAUGAACACCUAGAAAUUGAAGAGUAUUAACAAUAAGUACGGGAAACUCAAGGUAGAAGAGAAAACGUAAAAGGAAAAAUACUAUUCUGCACUCCAUGUGCCACCCUCAACAAACAUUAUAUCAAUGACGGCAUCAAAGAUUAGUCCGUAUCCAAAAACCAGACCAAGAUACUAAGUUGAUAGAAUAAAAUUUAUAUUGUCUCCUGUCACAGGGUGAGGCCCAAAACAAUAUCCAAGUCCACAUAACAACAAAUAAACUAUAAUUACAGAGCAAAGGUGACCAAUUAUUAAACCAGAAAAGCCUUCCCGUGAAGCUUGAUUAAGAACCACACAGCGAUCAGGCAUCUGGAAAUUGAUGAGAACAACGGUAAGCAAGGCAAACUCUAGGUACAAGAGAAAAUGUGGUAGAAAAAAAAACUAUAUGUACUCCCUUUUCCACGCACGAUUAACACUAUAUCAAUAACAACAUUAAAGAUUUGUCUGUGUCCAAAAACCAGACCAAGAAAGCCCCCACCUUAAGUUCCUACUUUGAUAGAAUCAGAACAUACAAGUCAACAUAACAACAAAAGAACUAUAAUAGAGAGAGAGCAAAGGUAACCAAUCAUCAAACCCGAACUGCCUUCCAGUUAAGCUUGAUUAAGAACCAAAAACGAUCAGGCAUCUGAAAAUUGGAGAGAAUAACAACAAUAA
rnacentral:lncRNA from 1 species